UACGGAGGGUGCAAGCGUUAAUCGGAAUUACUGGGCGUAAAGCGUGCGCAGGCGGCUUUGCAAGACAGAUGUGAAAUCCCCGGGCUUAACCUGGGAACUGCAUUUGUGACUGCAUGGCUGGAGUGCGGCAGAGGGGGAUGGAAUUCCGCGUGUAGCAGUGAAAUGCGUAGAUAUGCGGAGGAACACCGAUGGCGAAGGCAAUCCCCUGGGCCUGCACUGACGCUCAUGCACGAAAGCGUGGGGAGCAACAGG
rnacentral:rRNA from 1 species